GAUUUCUGGUCUGGUGCGCCUGGCCCGCCGCAUCAGCGUGUGAGUGCCGGGUCGCGCCUGCCAUCCUUCUAGAAAACGAUUCUGCCAUUCACUUGGUUGGGAUCGCGAUCUAGAUCUUUUACUUUGAAAAAAUUAGAGUGUUUAAAGCAGGCUUUUGCUAUGAAUACAUUAGCAUGGAAUAAUAAUCUAGGACUUCGGUUCUAUUUUGUUGGUUUCUAUAACUGAAGUAAUGAUUGAUAGGGAUAGUUGGGGGUGCUAGUAUUGGCCGGCCAGAGGUGAAAUUCUUGGAUUCGGUCAAGACUAACUUAUGCGAAAGCAUU
rnacentral:rRNA from 1 species